GAGCGCUGUAGCAAUACAGAGCGGCGCACGGGGUGAGUAACACGUGGGAACGUGCCCUAUGGUUCGGAAUAACCCAGGGAAACUUGGGCUAAUACCGGAUAAGCCCUUUUGGGGAAAGAUUUAUCGCCAUUGGAGCGGCCCGCGUCCGAUUAGCUAGUUGGUGGGGUAAUGGCCCACCAAGGCAACGAUCGGUAGCUGGUCUGAGAGGACGACCAGCCACACUGGGACUGAGACACGGCCCAGACUCCUACGGGAGGCAGCAGUGGGGAAUCUUGGACAAUGGGGGAAACCCUGAUCCAGCCAUGCCGCGUGAGUGAUGAAGGCCCUAGGGUUGUAAAACUCUUUCGGCGGGGACGAUAAUGACGGUACCCGCAGAAGAAGCUCCGGCUAACUUCGUG
rnacentral:rRNA from 1 species